UCGAGGGGCAGCGAGAUCAGUGCUUGCACUGAUUGUCGGCGACCGGCCCAUGGGUGCGUAACGCGUAUGCAACCUACCCAUUACAGGGGGAUAACACUGAGAAAUCGGUACUAAUACCCCAUAACAUCCAGGGAGGCAUCUUCUUGGGUUGAAAACUCCGGUGGUAAUGGAUGGGCAUGCGUUGUAUUAGUUAGUUGGUGGGGUAACGGCUCACCAAGACGACGAUACAUAGGGGGACUGAGAGGUUAACCCCCCACAUUGGUACUGAGACACGGACCAAACUCCUACGGGAGGCAGCAGUGAGGAAUAUUGGUCAAUGGACGCAAGUCUGAACCAGCCAUGCCGCGUGCAGGAAGACGGCUCUAUGAGUUGUAAACUGCUUUUGUACGAGGGUAAACGCAGAUACGUGUAUCUGUCUGAAAGUAUCGUACGAAUAAGGAUCGGCUAACUCCGUGCCAGCAGCCGCGGUAAUACGGAGGAUUCAAGCGUUAUCCGGAUUUAUUGGGUUUAAAGGGUGCGUAGGCGGUCGGAUAAGUUAGAGGUGAAAUCCCGGGGCUCAACUUCGGAAUUGCCUCUGAUACUGUUCGGCUAGAGAGUAGUUGCGGUAGGCGGAAUGUAUGGUGUAGCGGUGAAAUGCUUAGAGAUCAUACAGAACACCGAUUGCGAAGGCAGCUUACCAAGCUACUUCUGACGUUGAGGCACGAAAGCGUGGGGAGCAAACAGGAUUAGAUACCCUGGUAGUCCACGCAGUAAACGAUGAUAACUCGUUGUCGGCGAUACAAUGUCGGUGACUAAGCGAAAGCGAUAAGUUAUCCACCUGGGGAGUACGUUCGCAAGAAUGAAACU
rnacentral:rRNA from 1 species